CCUACGGGAGGCAGCAGUAAGGGAUAUUGGUCAAUGGGGGAAACCCUGAACCAGCAACGCCGCGUGAGGGAAGACGGUUUUCGGAUUGUAAACCUCUGUCCUCUGUGAAGAUGAUGACGGUAGCAGAGGAGGAAGCUCCGGCUAACUCCGUGCCAGCAGCCGCGGUAAUACGGAGGAUGCGAGCGUUAUCCGGAUUUAUUGGGUUUAAAGGGUGCGCAGGCGGUCUGUUAAGUCAGCGGUCAAAGCCCGGGGCUCAACCCCGGCCCGCCGUUGAAACUGGCAGUCUCGAGUUGGAGAGAAGUAUG
rnacentral:rRNA from 1 species